rnacentral:rRNA from 1 species
UACGUAGGCAGCGAGCGUUGUUCGGAGUUACUGGGCGUAAAGGGUGUGUAGGCGGUUUUCUAAGUUUGGUGUGAAAUCUCCCGGCUCAACCGGGAGGGUGCGCCGAAAACUGGGAGACUAGAGUGCGGGAUGGGAGAGUAGAAUUCCUGGUGUAGCGGUGGAAUGCGCAGAUAUCAGGAGGAACACCGAUGGCGAAGGCAGAUCUCUGGGCCGUAACUGACGCUGAGGAGCGAAAGCGUGGGGAGCGAACAGG